rnacentral:rRNA from 1 species
UACAGAGGGGGCAAGCGUUGUUCGGAAUUACUGGGCGUAAAGGGCGCGUAGGCGGCCUGUUAAGUCGAACGUGAAAUCCCUCGGCUUAACCGAGGAACUGCCUGUCAGACUGGAUUGCUUGAGGCCGGGAGAGGUGAGUGGAAUUCCCAGUGUAGCGGUGAAAUGCGUAGAUAUUGGGAGGAACACCGGUGGCGAAGGCGGCUCACUGGACCGGUACUGACGCUGAGGCGCGAAAGCGUGGGGAGCAAACAGG